rnacentral:lncRNA from 1 species
GGGGGACGCAUCUGGGGAUACCUUUCAUUUAGCUAUUGCUUCAGAAAAAGCCACCCCCAAAACAGUACACUCGAAAUAACUACGUUUUAUUAUUUCCCAGAAUUGUACAAUCUGAGCUGAGGGCAGCUGAAUGGUUCUGUUCAUGCAGUACCUGUUGGAGUGGACGCACCCAAGAACAUUUUACUAUCACAUUCGGCGCCUCCCACUGGGAUAACAGGCAUAGCGGACCGCCUGGCAUCUCUGUCUCCAGGCAGCCUCUCUGUGUGGACAGCUUGGGCUUCUUCGUAGCAGGGUGAUCUCAGGGUAGUUGACUUUUAAAAUGGUGGCUGGCUUCCAUGUGAGAGAAAGAGGAUGUUGCCAGUGUAUUUAGGGGCUGGGCUGUGAAGUACCAGAAGCAUCACUUCCUCUGAGUUCCACUUCCUACCUGUACUCUGUUGGUCAAAGCAGGUCACAGGCCAGCAUGGAGUCAAGGGAGAGGAAAUAGCUUGUACAUCUUGGUGGGAAGACCAAUAUGCGCAAAUGGGAAGAGAAGAAUUAGCACCAGCCUUCUUCGGAGUCUACCUGGGAAGAUGAAAGGAUGAUGCGGUCAGCUGGUUAGGCAGGAUGGUAUGAAACCCUGCCACGGAGAUCAGGAAGGAUCUAGAAGACAUGGUAUAGACUCCUUAUCUUCUAACUCUUCCACCCCCCACAACAGGGUCACAAAGAUAACACCUUGCCCAUCCAACGACUUCCCAUCUGCCAUCUUGGAGAUCAGGAAGAGGCCAGAGAGCUAACAGAGAGUCUGAGAAUGAGUCUUUAUGGCAACCCUUGGACAGCAUGGCAGUUUACUCCACAGGAAAGGCUCCUGGAAGGACUGGAAAGUUAUAAUGAAGAAAAGAGUUUUCUGCCACCGGUUGGACAUAAAGGAAUCUGCGGGAAAACCCAAGGCAACAAUGUUGUUAUUUCAGAACUAUGAAUCUCUCAAGGCAUUUCUCCAAAAAAAAGCAGAUUUCAAUAACAAGAGGAAAAUGGAUCAGUGGGGAUAUUACAGGGUUUUGGUUUGCCUAAAAACGCUGUAG